rnacentral:lncRNA from 1 species
CUCCCCACCAUUACCUUCUCGCCUCUGAAAGCUUUUUAUCAUAUCAUUAAAAAGACUGCCAGCAAUGUGUGCCUAUAUUCUGGCAUUAAACUUAUAACUACUGAGAACAUGCACAUACUUCCCCUCCAGCUAGAUGAUGAAUAAAUCCUUAAAUGACAUAAAAGGAGCCCAGUCACCAAGUUCAGUGCCAACCAUUUCCAUUUCUAAGUGCCUCUGAUGCUACCUGCCUCCUGAGAAUGCUGCUCAGCACUGCAAUGGAACUAACCUUACACAAAGAGCAGCUGCCAGAUGCCUGGACUGCAAGCCGCCUGCAAACCCAACCUGACAUGGACAGCGAAUGCCACACUGAUAAUGACACCUUGCUCCGAGGCAGAGACACAGAGACACAUGCAUUUUUACACACAAUUUCAGAGGCGCAUGGACCUCUCCUGUUUUACUUCAUUUCUGCUUUCCAGUCCAAGGACAAUUUCUUGCCUUUGAGCCCCUUUCUGCUCUGAAAGAAUAAAGUCCAGAUUGAAC